CCGACCGGCUGGCGGCCCGACCGACCGACCUCGACUGAAAGCCGGGGGUGACCGACUAACGGACGCUACCGACGGCUUUUCGAUGGCCCAAUCGCCGACUGGAGGUAUGUCGGGCGUAUCCUUCCCGACCGACCAGACCCAGAGGCCGACUCACAUGAAACUCGCCGACUGACGGAGGAACCCGACGCCACUCUGCUGGCCACCGACCAAGGGUCGGCCGUCUCCUCCCAUCGCCGUACAGCCGCCAGACCUU
rnacentral:lncRNA from 1 species